AAGCUCAGAAGCUCACAGCAAAACGCUUCUGCCAGCCGAAGCGCUUCGGUGCUUCUACGCUUCCUAGCGCUUUUGCGCUUCUUGUAGUCUAGGCACAUCAGAACCUUCUUUUUUAUACAAAAUAAAGCCACGUGACUCUAAUCUUCUUUUUUAAAGUAUCACGUGAUUUCUUUUUUUUGAAAAGCGAAUAUUUGGGAAGUUUUUGAAAGCCCUAGUGCAAUUUUCUCCUGUAGCCGGAUUUCUCUAGCCUUCUCGCUGGAUUUCUCCCAUCAAAUUCUGAAUUUUUCUUUCAUCGUUUUGAUUUCUCUUUUUUUUUCCAUCUUUUCUUUCCAUAUUUUCUCCAUAUUCUCUGAACUUUUGAAAAUUUAUUAUUUCUUUCCGGGUGGGCUUCGCCUACUAAAAGCGUGCGCUUUCGCUUUGCGCUUAAGCUCCAGGGCCCUAUUGAGCUUUAUUGCGCUUCACGCUUUUUAAAACUAAGCAUUCCACUCCCAAGUUUACUUUCUAAUAGAUCAUAAACAUUUGUGUUCAAGUCUUUAAUUUUUGUCUGUUUUUAACAGAUCAUGCUGUCAGGUUGUAAUGUUUACAGUGUAUAGGAUUUAUUGGACCUGGAUUAUCGUUACUUCGCUUGAAUUAUGCCAAGUCUCCAGGAGUUGCAUCUGUAAUUCUUACAGUUGGAUUGAGCUUGAGUUCUUUCAGUCAAGCUGGGUAUUUCCUCAAUACAAAGGAGCCAGGGAGUUGAGGUCCUUGAGGAAUCGGCGAAGUAAAUGAAAUGAAAGUCAUGAGCUGAUUCUCGAGAAUCUCAACAUAUGGAUUCAGUGUGGAUGCUGGUGAAGCUAGAAGGAAUAAUUUUCUGGAGAAUGCUGCAUACUUCUCUACACUCUGAUCUGAACUGCUGCUUCUGGUUACUGCUCUGCUUACUGCUGCUGCAUACUGCUCUGCACUCUGAUUUGAACUGCUGCUGUUUUGCAUCACUUAUGCGUCACCAAUAUGGCUGCUUCUUUCUUUGAUGAUGUUCGUCUCUUUUAAGAAUGAGAGUUAUUAUGGACUUGACCGUACCUUGGAUUUUGGGCUACUACUCAAGACGGUGCUUGCUGUUCUGUUUCUUGUUCCACUGGGCAUAAAUUAUGUUCUCUUAGUUGCAUAUACUAUCGUAUUGCUGCAGAUGAGGAACUAUCUAUUUAUUUGGAGUGUCUUCUCUCCCAAAUUGUGUUGGGUAUCAAACUCGGAACGAACCCAAAAGAGGCAGCAUCCAUUGUCAAAACACUUUCUGAUGUUGAAGGCCUCUGUAUGUGUCCUUCGCUUGUAGUCAUGGCUCCACUGAUCAAGGAGUAUCUAAAAGAGGAGUCAUAUACUAGUGAAGAUAUUGAGAAGAUUACUAGUGAAAGUUUGCAAUCUCAUUAUUUAGCAACUCCCCAACUUGUUUAGAUGUUUCGAAGGCAGUCCAACACUAUAAAUUGCAUCAGGUAAAAUACUACUGAUGCAACUAUGUUCAUAUCUCAGAUUUUGUCAUAGUUGUCAGACACUCGGACAUCUGUUUGAUUUUAUAUGUUAUUCCUAUUUGUAUACCAUGCUGGUUGUUGCGUAUUCAAUAUUCAUGAACUGUUAGCAUUUGACCCAUAAACAAUUUAGAUGUAGCUUUGUGGUUGCAUUUUAUCACAUGUCAAGGGUAUAUUAGGAGUGGCUAUUUGACUUUGCUGUCAUCAUUAACUUUGCUGUCAUAUCUUCUUUUUCUCCCUCAAUGUGCUUCAUCAAGAGUGUUAUCUCAUUUCAAAGACUUGUAUAACUGCCUUUCUAUAGGUUUCAGAAAACCAAGAUCAUACUUUUCACAUACACAAUAGGAAUUCCCCUGCUGAACC